rnacentral:misc_RNA from 1 species
UGUCGCUUGUUUGGCUCCAGUACGCCUGCGUCGUUCUUCGUUGGACUUUUUGCUUGCCUUGCCCGCCCCCGCCCCCGCCCCUCGCCCUUUCCUGCCCCGUGAGGUGCAGCUCCACACCUCUUCUAUCUAUCUCUGCACGCAGCCCCCCCCCUCGUCCCCACCCCACCAGCGAGAGCAAGCGAGACAGACAGCGUGCACCAGCGCUGUCGUUGUCAACACCUCGCAUCAAUCCAACGACAGCAGUGGCGCCCUGCAAUCCCCCCUCCCCCACCGACAUCCGCUCUCGAGCACCAUGGCCAUCUCCAGCGUUGCAUCCGUGUCCGCCACGAAGGCCUCUGCUCUUGCCGCCAAGAAGGCGGAGAAGGACGCGCAUGCCAGUCGUUCUCUCUUCGAGGAGUACGAGCAGCUCAGCAAGGAUAUCAAGAACAUACAGCUCAAGACGAUGAUCUGCAGGACCGAGACGCACCAGCUCAUGAAGGAAGAGAGCGCGGCGAAGCAGGAGGUGAAGCGCAUCCAGGCGGUGCCCCUCGUCCUCGGCAACUUCGUCGAGGUUGUGGACAGUGUCCGCGGUAUCGUGAGCGGCACGAGCGGCUCGCAGUAUUUUGUGCGCAUCCUUUCGACCCUCAACAAGGAGCACCUCAAGCCGAACGUCAGCGUCGGCCUGCACAAGAGCAGCAACGCCUGCGUGCAGCUGCUGCCGAGCGAAACGGACGCGACCAUCACGCUGCUCAACUCGAGCGACAGACCCGACGUCACAUACUCGGACGUGGGUGGUCUGGACAUGCAGAAGCAGGAGAUUCGCGAGGCCGUGGAGCUGCCGCUGACCCACGCGGGCCUGUACGAGCAGAUCGGUAUUGACCCUCCGCGCGGUGUGCUGCUCUACGGCCCGCCCGGCACCGGCAAGACCAUGCUGGUGAAGGCCGUGGCGCGGCACACGAAGGCCUCCUUCAUCCGCGUUGUCGGCAGCGAGUUUGUGCAGAAGUUCCUCGGCGAGGGCCCGCGCAAAGUGCGUGACGUGUUUCGUCUCGCCCGCGAGAACGCGCCAUCCAUCAUCUUCAUCGACGAGGUCGACUCCAUCGCGACCAAGCGUUUUGAUGCUCAGACCGGCGCCGAUCGUGAGGUGCAGCGUGUGCUUGUGGAGCUGCUUACCCAGAUGGACGGCUUUGACCAGACAACCAACGUCAAGGUCAUCAUGGCCACAAACCGCUGGGACACGCUGGACCCCGCGCUGCUGCGCCCUGGUCGCCUCGACAGAAAGAUCGAGUUCCCGUACCCUGACCGCCGCCAGAAGCGCCUCGUCUUCCAGGUAUGCACGUCGAAGAUGAACCUGUCGCCUGAAGUGGACCUCGAAGACUACGUGACUCGGCCGGAGAAGCUCAGCGGCGCCGACAUCCAGUCCAUCUGCCAGGAAGCGGGUAUGCUGGCGGUGCGAAAGAAUCGAUACGUCAUUCUGCCGCGCGACAUCGAAAAUGCGUACAGGACGGUGAUUAAGAAGACUGGGGAUGAGACGUACGACUUCUACUCGUGAAGCCUGCGUGUGCGUGUGUGUUCCAUUCUGUAUGUCGACCACCACCGCCACCACCACCGCCAGCAGCAGCAGCGCCGCUGUGUGGGUGGCGGUUGCUGUGCCAAGGGUCGCCUCUCUUGUAUAUCCGUCUGUUUUGCCGACUCUCCACCCACCCCCACCACCGCCAACUCGUUGAUGGGGGGGGGGGACAGGGGAGGGGGCGCAUGUCGUGGCUGUUGUUGUGUCUGUGCACCGGACGUGAAGCCUACUCCUAUCGGAGCGUCUAUCCCUCUAUGUGUGUGUGUGUGUGGCUUUCGGCCGAUGUGGUGGGCGCGGCACGCGUGCGUCGACUGUACCUCCAUCAAUGCUCAUGGAAGCGUGAUGCGCGCGUGCAAGCGCUGCGCCCAGCUCAUCCGCCGGUGUAUAGGCGUAGAAGCAUUGCCGCGAUGCCCGUCGGCAUCUGCUUGGCCGUGC